rnacentral:tRNA from 2 species
AAGAAAGUGGCAGAGUGGUCAUGCGGUUGACUUGAAAUCUCCUUAUAGGGGUUCGAUUCCCUUCUUUCUCG